CCCUUAGAUGUUCUGGGCGGCCCGCGCACUACACUGGCACUCUCAAUCAGAGCCUGGAUCUAACACUUUGGGGUAUUCUAUGAAGUGGUGUCGUGACUGGGAUUAACCCUUGCAAUUAUUGGUUACGAACGAGGAAUUCCUUGUAAUCGCGGUUUAUCAGCCCGCGUUGAAUGCGUCCCUGCCCUUUGUACACACCGCCCGUCGCUCCUACCGAUGGAUCGUCCGGUGAAGCUCAUGGAGGGGCGGUUGUCUCUGCUGCCGUCGAAGUGAAAUGGACCUCACGAUCUAGAGGAAGGAGAAGUCGUAACA
rnacentral:rRNA from 1 species